GAGGCAAAGGGAAUAGCCAAGCCAACUAGCUAAUUAUUCGUGUUGUUUCUACUUGAGCGUCAUAAACUCGACCUUGCUCCUCCUUUGUGGGAUGCUUGCGCAGAGAAAUUACAAGCCUGUGGCGGGUCUGCCUGGGAGCAAUCUCUCUUCUGCUAGAAACCUUCUCGCCGUCCGGGUAGAUGGUUGGAAAAGCAUCUUCAUUGAGUCAAAGCCACAUUUGAAAGCCCAGCUCCACCGGCAAGUAAUUUAAAAAAAGGACUCCCGGGUGAUAUUGUAAUAACAUAUUAAAACAUGUAAUAACGCAUUCACUGACUGUUGUCUGCCUGGGCUUAACUAUGCAAUCAUGGCUUGUACUCUGUGUUAUACCUUCCCUCUCUCUCUGUUUCUCUAUAUACUAACUACACUGGAAACCCCCACACGGGUGGCUGACUAAGAUAAUAUACACACUGAAAACCCAUAAAUACACGCACACACUCAAAAGCCUUCGGGAGGGGCUCCAAAGACAAAGAACUCUGUCGAGAACCAAUGGGAUACUGACACCAGGCUGGAGAGGACUGUCUAUCACCUACAAGCAACCUACCAGAAGCCAGGACUACCAGAAUCUACCUACGUCAUUUCAAUGUAUAAAUGAACUGCGCAAUAUGUUUUUAGCUCUCUUCUUCCGAUAGUUCCCUAAGAGCUGGACGAAUGGGAGCCGUGCAGCACGUUUUGCCAGAUAUCAUUACGCUUGAAUAAACGGCCUUUAAUAUACCGUAGCCGCCUUGUCCAGAGUCUCAUCUUGGUCUCGUUUCUCCUGUAACUAAUCAUCAACAAUAUACACAUUGCAGACUGACACACGUACAGUUUCUUUACGACUCUUCAAAGCUGAGGAAAGUCAUCCACUGGCAGUAAACAUGAGGAUGGAGAGGGCAACUCAUACAAACUCCAGUCUUUGAUGUUUCAACCAGCAACCCUGCACGCACCGUAGCUGCGGGGCAUUGCACAAUUGGACAGACAGACAAACGUAUAAAGCUACAAAAAGACAAAGAGAUACAGAAGUGAGACAGAUAAACUUGGACAAAACUACAAACAAACAAAUGGAUUUAGACAAAUAGACAGAUUGAUAUAUAGAUACAGAGUGCAAAAUAGCUGUUUAAAACAGCAGC
rnacentral:lncRNA from 13 species